UACGAAGGGGGCUAGCGUUGUUCGGAUUUACUGGGCGUAAAGCGCACGUAGGCGGAUCGAUCAGUCAGGGGUGAAAUCCCAGAGCUCAACUCUGGAACUGCCUUUGAUACUGUCGAUCUGGAGUAUGGAAGAGGUGAGUGGAAUUCCGAGUGUAGAGGUGAAAUUCGUAGAUAUUCGGAGGAACACCAGUGGCGAAGGCGGCUCACUGGUCCAUUACUGACGCUGAGGCGCGAAGGCGUGGGGAGCGAACGGG
rnacentral:rRNA from 1 species